GUGCUCACUUCAGCAGCACAUAUACUAAAACUGGAACAAUACAGAGAAAGAUUAGCAUGGAUCCUGCACAAGGAUGACAUGCAAAUUCUUGAGGAAUUUCAUAUUUUA